UGCCUUGGGACUGUACAUCAGACAUGUAAAAGAAAACGAACUGAAUGGGUGACUUGAGUUACGAUGUCCUUGGUGAGCCUUUCAGGGCACCCAGAAGAGGAUUCCAAGGCAGCAAUCAUGGGUAUCAAUUAGGAACACUGGGGGAGUUCUGAGAGACUAUCAACCUCAAUCCUGUCAUAUUAUAGGUAAGGAAACUCAAGGUAAGUGUCUUGUCUCUUGUCCAAGGUCACAUAAACCUACCAAUUAUUAUACGGUUUAGAUACUACAUAUUAGCUCUUGUGAGAAAUUUAGUUAUAUAAAAUAAAAGACUCUCCAAGUGUGAGCAGAGAAGAAGUCCAGAAGGGACAAAGAGCUUUGGCCUCUUUUCUCACUUUUAUUUUCAGUUGUUGUAGUAGGCAGAAUAAUGGCCCUUCAAAAACGUCCAAGUUCCAAUACCCACAACCAGUGAAUAUAUUGGGUUACAUGACAAAGGAGAAAUAAAGUUGCUAAUGGAAUUAAGGUUGCUAUCAACUGACCUUAAAAUCAAGAGAUUAUCCUGGAUUAUCUGGCUGGGCCAGGUGUAAUUGUCAGAGUCCUUAGAAGUGGGAGAGGGAAGCAGAAGAGAAGAGUUGCUAGGUCUCUCUUGAGGCAAUAAGGUCCUCAUCAUCAUGGGGUAUGCCUGACCACCCUUUUCUAAAGUUCUUAGUCUCCCUUCACUGUCAUUCUCUUGCACCUGUUCUUCACCACCCUUUUCUCAUUUUGUCGUUACAUAUUUCUUUGCUUGGUUGUUUACUUUGUUGUCCAUUUCUUCUUUCCCCUGCAUCACUCUAGCUCCUGUAACCAGACUCUUAGCUAUGUUAGAGCAGGCACUUGUGAAAUCUCCAGUCAAAUAAACGAAUGAAACACGUGUGAAGCCCGUACUCAAAAAAUCUUUUAAUUCUUUUUUUUUUUUUGACAGGGUAUCACUCUGUUGCCCAGGCUGGCAAUGCAGUGGUGCAAUCUCGACUCACUGCAGCCUCAACCUCCUGGGCUCAAGUGAUCCUCCCACCUCAGCCUCUCAAUUAGGUGAGACUACUGGUGCACACUACCACACCUGGCUAAUUUUUGUAAUUUUUGUAGAGCCAGGGUUUCGCCAUGUUGCCCAGGCUGAUCUCAAAUUCCUGGGCUAAAGUGAUCCACCCACCUCAGCCUCCCAAAGUGCUGGUAUUAUAGGCAUGAGCCACCAUGUCCGGCCUGUCUUUUAAAUUCUUAGCCCUUUCUCCUGUGUGUUCUGAUCACUCCC
rnacentral:lncRNA from 10 species